rnacentral:rRNA from 1 species
GGAAGGAAGGGGGGAAACCUGGAUCCAGCCCAUGCCGCGUGUGUGAAGAAGGCCUUCUGGUUGUAAAGCACUUUCAGCAGGGAAGAACACCUGAGGGUUAAUACCCGUUAGCGAUGACAUUACCUGCAGAAUAAGCACCGGCUAACUCUGUGCCAGCAGCCGCGGUAAUACAGAGGGUGCAAGCGUUAAUCGGAAUUACUGGGCGUAAAGCGAGCGUAGGUGGCUUGAUAAGUCAGAUGUGAAAUCCCCGGGCUUAACCUGGGAACUGCAUCUGAUACUGUUAAGCUAGAGUAGGUGAGAGGGAAGUAAAAUUCCGGGUGUAGCGGUGAAAUGCGUAAAGAUCUGGAGGAAUACCGAUGGCGAAGGCGGCUUCCUGGCAUCAUACUGACACUGAGGCUCGAAAGCGUGGGUAGCCAAACCAGGGAAUUAGAUACCGGGGUAGUAAA